GGAUGCGAUCAUACCAGCACUAAAGCACCGGAUCCCAUCAGAACUCCGAAGUUAAGCGUGCUUGGGCGAGGGUAGUACUAGGAUUGGUGACCUCCUGGGAAGUCCUCGUGUUGCAUUCC
rnacentral:rRNA from 1 species